GAUGAAGAACGCAGCGAAAUGCGAUACUUGGUGUGAAUUGCAGAAUCCCGUGAACCAUCGAGUCUUUGAACGCAAGUUGCGCCCGAAGCCAUUAGGCCGAGGGCACGCCUGCCUGGGCGUCACACGUCGUUGCCCCCCCAUCUACUCCUUCGGGAUUGCGGGGGGCGGAUGAUGGCCUCCCGUGCGCCUCGCCGCGCGGUUGGCAUAAAUGCCAAGUCCUCGGCGACGCACGCCACGACAAUCGGUGGUUGCGAAACCUCGGUUGCCCGUCGUGUGCGGUCGUCGCGCAUCGAGGGCUCGAAAAAAUUGCCGGGUUCCGGCUCGGCUUUCAACGCGACCCCAGGUCAGGCGGGGUUACCCGCUGAAUUUAAGCAUAUCAAUAAGCUGAGGA
rnacentral:misc_RNA from 1 species